GUCCACAGGCGACAGCUCAAGCGACUCAACCGGCAACUGGCACAGGGAAGGUGCUCACCGGUGACUUGGAUAGUUCAUUGGCAUCACUUGCGGAAAAUCUCACCAUAAACAAGAGCGCUUCUGCUCAAGUCAAGGGAAUGCAGUGGAACUCUCCAAAGAAUGCCGCAAAACCCGGAGCUAAUUGGACACCACAACCCAUGGCGGCGACAACUGGGGCUGGUUAUCGUCCUAUGGCGCAAGGCAUGCCAGUUCCUCCAAGUCCCAGCACAAUACAUCCGUUAAUACACGCUCCUUUUCCCGCUAUGACACCGUACUUGAAUCAGGUAAGAUGUGGAUGAUUCACGAUU